AUGUAUCUUCACGAGGACUCGAGCGUAAGGAUCAUCCACCGAGACCUGAAAGCUAACAACAUUCUGAUUGAUGAUGCCAUGAAUCCGAAGAUUGCGGACUUCGGGUUAGCUAGGCUGCAAGUAGGAGGCCAUACUCAAACCAUGACAACUAGAGUUGUUGGAACGUGCGGGUAUAUGGCGCUAGAGUAUGCAAUACAUGGAAACAUGUCGCCAAAGAUCGAUAUUUUCAGCUUUGGUGUCUUGGUGCUUGAAAUUGUAACCAAGAGGAGGAACUGCGGCUCCGAUGAUUGCGAGACGGACACGGCGAAUCUCCUAAGUGAUGUAUGGACUUGUUGGAGCAAAGGGAUGAUAUCACAGAUGAUUGAUGAAUCACUUGAAGGACACCCCCGAAUCCAUGUGCUAAGAUGUAUCCACAUUGGGUUGCUGUGUGUCCAAGCAGACCCUGACGACAGGCCUGACAUCCCAUCCAUCAUUUUCAUGUUGAACAGGGAGGACAUGGAGCUUCAGCCACCAGCACAGCCUGCAUUCUUCUUCGGGGAAGACUCAAACUCACCUUCUCUGCCAUGCUAG
rnacentral:rRNA from 1 species